rnacentral:lncRNA from 1 species
CUGAGCUUUAAAUCAUGAAAUUCCAUGCAAAAUUGAGUUAGUUAGGUCGAUUUAAAGUUUUGUGCAUGAAUGUUGUUUGCUUCGAUUUGCUCAUGAUAAUUGGAAUUAGGAUAAACCAUGCAUGGAUUCGUGACCUAGAAUGAAGGAUCUACGUGUUAGUAUGCUUGAUUGUGAAUUCUGGGAAAGAUGUUCUUGAUGCAUCCACUGUUCAUGAGAUUCACGAUGAAGAUGGUGAUGUUCAUGUUUUGGCAA